GGUGAACGCUGGCGGCAUGCCUAAUACAUGCAAGUCGAGCGACCAGACGAGAAGCGUGCUCCUCUACCGUUAGCGGCUGACGGGUGGGUAACACGUGGAUCACCUACCUCUAAGACUUGGGUGACUUCGUGAAACCGGAUCCAAUACCGCCUCAUAUAUUCAACCGCUUAGUUCAGUAGUUCAAGACGGUUUUGCUGUCUCUUAUAGAUGGUUCCGCGCCGCCUUGGUUACUUGGUAAGGUAACGGCUUACCAAGGCAACGAUGCGUAGCCGACCUGAGAGGGUGAUCGGCCACACUGGAACUGAGACACGGUCCAGACUCCUACGGGAGGCAGCAGUAGGGAAUAUUCCGCAAUGGGCGAAAGCCUGAUGGAGCAACGCCGCGUGAGUGAUGAAGGUCUUCGGAUCGUAAAACUCUGUUAUUGGGGAAGAAAAAAUGUGUAAGUAACUAUGCACGUCUUGACGGUACCUAAUCAGAAAGCAACGGCUAACUACGUG
rnacentral:rRNA from 1 species